rnacentral:rRNA from 1 species
AACGCGAAGAACCUUACCUGGGCUCGAACGGCUUAAGAACAUCUUUGGAAACAGAGACUUCUCGCAAGAGACUUGAGUCGAGGUGCUGCAUGGCUGUCGUCAGCUCGUGUCGUGAGAUGUUGGGUUAAGUCCCGCAACGAGCGCAACCCUUGUCCUGUGUUGCCACUCCGUAAGGAAGCACUCUCAGGAGACCGCCAGCGAUAAGUUGGAGGAAGGUGGGGAUGAUGUCAAGUCAUCAUGGCCUUUAUGUCCAGGGCUACACACGUGCUACAAUGGGCGGUACAAAGCGCUGCAAACCCGCGAGGGGGAGCUAAUCGCAAAAAACCGUUCUCAGUUCGGAUCGCAGGCUGCAACCCGCCUGCGUGAAGCUGGAAUCGCUAGUAAUGGCGUAUCAGAAUGAUGCCGUGAAUACGUUCCCGGGCCUUGUA